CUGCCCAAGGAAUGUGGGCCACCAUCUCCAUAGCUGCUUUCUGAACUGGGGAUUGAGAGGUGGCGAUCACAGGGCACGCCCUAAGAAACCUGCACACUAACCUCCCUCUCAGACACUGCUUCUGGAGAGCCCAACCUGUGACCGCUGGGUCAGGAGGGGUCUGAGGAAGAAGAUGCUAAGAUGGGAUUCUGGCUCUGGAUCACCCACUGCCUAGCUGCUGAUAAGGAUCCUUUUGCUGGGGGUAGAUGGAGCGGGUACAUGCCCCCGCACAGAGCAGAGGAUGCCAAGAAAACACAGUGAGGAAAGGAUUAUCUCUUCAGUGUUGGGAAAACUGGAUAUCCACAUGCAGAAGAAUGAAACUGGAACUUUACCUCACAUUAUGUACAAAAAUCAACUAAAAAUAGAUUAAAGACAAAAACCUAAGACUGGAGACUACAAAACUAUUAGAAGAAGAAAACACAGGGGUAAGCUUCUUGACAUUGACCUGGGUAAUGAUUUUUUUGGACACGACACUAAAAGCACAAGCAAAAAGGCAAAAAUAGACAAGUGGACUGCAUCAAACUGAAAAGCUUCUGCACAGCAAAGGAAACAAAAGAGUGGAAAAGGCAACCUAUGGGAUGAGAGAAAGUAUUUGAAAACCAUGCACUUUUAAUAGAUAGAACAAUUAGAAGAGCAAGAAGAAAAUAGAAGGCUUGAGCAUCAUUAUGAAUCAACUAAUAGACACAUUUAGAACACUCCACCCAACAACAGUAGAACACAUAUUCUUCUCCAUUCUAGAAUUAGAAAUGAAGGACUAGAAUGAAUGGGGACGUUACUACCAACAAAAAGGAUUAUGAAGGAAUACUACGAACACUUAAGUGCUAACAAAUUAGUGCCACCUGCCCAGAACCGCUCCACGGUCCAUGGAGAUCGGUUUACUUCUCUUUUCGCCUGCUUCCGCAGCCAAGACUCAACUCCCUCCCAUCCAUGAGUUCUCUUGGAGUAUCUUUGUGUAAACAAGGUCUCAGUAACUAAAUCCUGUUUCCAU
rnacentral:lncRNA from 1 species